UACGAAGGGGGCUAGCGUUGCUCGGAAUGACUGGGCGUAAAGGGCGCGUAGGCGGCAUACACAGUCAGAUGUGAAAUUCCUGGGCUCAACCUGGGGACUGCAUUUGAUACGUGUAAGCUAGAGUGGAGAAGAGGGUCGUGGAAUUUCCAGUGUAGAGGUGAAAUUCGUAGAUAUUGGAAAGAACACCGGUGGCGAAGGCGGCGACCUGGUCUUUAACUGACGCUGAGGCGCGAAAGCGUGGGGAGCAAACAGGGAUUAGAUACCCUGGUAGUCCACGCUGUAAACGAUGUGUGCUGGAUGUUGGGAAACUUAGUUUUCAGUGUCGUAGCUAACGCGAUAAGCACACCGCCUGGGGAGUACGGCCGCAAGGUUGAAACUCAA
rnacentral:rRNA from 1 species